rnacentral:rRNA from 1 species
GAUGAACGCUGGCGGCGUGCCUAAUACAUGCAAGUCGAGCGAACAGACGAGGAGCUUACUCCUCUGACGUUAGCGGCGGACGGGUGAGUAACACGUGGAUAACCUACCUAUAAGACUGGGAUAACUUCGGGAAACCGGAGCUAAUACCGGAUAACAUGUUGAACCGCAUGGUUCAACAGUGAAAGACGGUCUUGCUGUCACUUAUAGAUGGAUCCGCGUCGCAUUAGCUAGUUGGUAAGGUAACGGCUUACCAAGGCAACGAUGCGUAGCCGACCUGAGAGGGUGAUCGGCCACACUGGAACUGAGACACGGUCCAGACUCCUACGGGAGGCAGCAGUAGGGAAUCUUCCGCAAUGGGCGAAAGCCUGACGGAGCAACGCCGCGUGAGUGAAGAAGGUCUUCGGAUCGUAAAACUCUGUUAUUAGGGAAGAACAAAUGUGUAAGUAACUACGCACGUCUUGACGGUACCUAAUCAGAAAGCCACGGCUAACUACGUG